CGUGUUUAUAGAGCGCGUCAAAUGCUCUCGGAGCAAAACGAAAUGUCACGAUUUUAACGGUUUUCGUCAGAAUUUAAGCUUUAAACGAUUAUAAUAUACAAGGCGAUUAAAUUGUGCGUGCGUUAAAAUAACGGUUUUCGGAAUUUUCAAGUGCAGUUAAAGCCGAUAUACUCGAAUACAUAGAUUUUUCACAACAUUUAGAUGAGUAUCCCGUGGCGAUGCCGACUUUGGCUUUUCAAACGAGAAUCUAUGUAAAAAAAAUUGCCAUAAAUAGACGGAGCAAUGGAAUUUAAACACGUUUCGGCGUUGACGUUUUCGAUUUUCGUCGACGAGAUAUUUGGCUUUUAAGUUCGGAGAGGGGGAAGAGUAGUGGAACAAUGUGAAAACGUCGCGAGCCGUGUCGCCACGUGAACGAUGCUUUAUUGACUGUUGUCCUUACUCCUUAGUAUUUUAAAGUAGAACGACUUGGAAACAUUUCGUACAACUUUCGAUUACAAUACAUCAAAAGGUUUAGAAAAAUCAUCCGAUUUAAAAUUUGCAUUGAAACACACGCGUCUGAAAACCUGAAGUUGGUAUCGCCACGGGAUAUUCUAUACAUUUAGAGAAAAAUCUAAAUAUUCGGAAACAUCGACAUUAACUACACGCGUAACAAUUCCACAUGAAAAUGGGCUGUGCGUGUUUAAUCACUCCGUAGUGUUCGAUUUGUAUACAGUCAAAUUUUGAAAUUCAUGAGGAGGUUGGUGACAUAUGUUACCGAAAUUUUUUCCAGCGCAAAAAUUUGAAAUAUCACGUAAUACCGGUUGUUAUAUCAUAAUACAUUACAUUAUUAAUUAUUGAAGAUUAAUUUUUCAAUGGAUUUCA